UACGGAGGGUGCGAGCGUUGUCCGGAAUCACUGGGCGUAAAGGGCGCGUAGGCGGCUGGGGAAGUCGGCGGUGAAAGCCCGGAGCUCAACUCCGGGUCGGCCGUCGAGACUCCUCGGCUCGAGCUCACUAGAGGCAGAUGGAAUUCCGGGUGUAGCGGUGGAAUGCGCAGAUAUCAGGAGGAACACCGGUGGCGAAGGCGGGUCUCUGGGCCGAUACUGACGCUGAGGAGCGAAAGCGUGGGGAGCGAACAGG
rnacentral:rRNA from 1 species